rnacentral:rRNA from 1 species
ACGAACUCUGGUAUUGAUUGGUGCUUGCAUCAUGAUUUACAUUUGAGUGAGUGGCGAACUGGUGAGUAACACGUGGGAAACCUGCCCAGAAGCGGGGGAUAACACCUGGAAACAGAUGCUAAUACCGCAUAACAACUUGGACCGCAUGGUCCGAGCUUGAAAGAUGGCUUCGGCUAUCACUUUUGGAUGGUCCCGCGGCGUAUUAGCUAGAUGGUGGGGUAACGGCUCACCAUGGCAAUGAUACGUAGCCGACCUGAGAGGGUAAUCGGCCACAUUGGGACUGAGACACGGCCCAAACUCCUACGGGAGGCAGCAGUAGGGAAUCUUCCACAAUGGACGAAAGUCUGAUGGAGCAACGCCGCGUGAGUGAAGAAGGGUUUCGGCUCGUAAAACUCUGUUGUUAAAGAAGAACAUAUCUGAGAGUAACUGUUCAGGUAUUGACGGUAUUUAACCAGAAAGCCACGGCUAACUACGUGCCAGCAGCCGCGGUAAUACGUAGGUGGCAAGCGUUGUCCGGAUUUAUUGGGCGUAAAGCGAGCGCAGGCGGUUUUUUAAGUCUGAUGUGAAAGCCUUCGGCUCAACCGAAGAAGUGCAUCGGAAACUGGGAAACUUGAGUGCAGAAGAGGACAGUGGAACUCCAUGUGUAGCGGUGAAAUGCGUAGAUAUAUGGAAGAACACCAGUGGCGAAGGCGGCUGUCUGGUCUGUAACUGACGCUGAGGCUCGAAAGUAUGGGUAGCAAACAGGAUUAGAUACCCUGGUAGUCCAUACCGUAAACGAUGAAUGCUAAGUGUUGGAGGGUUUCCGCCCUUCAGUGCUGCAGCUAACGCAUUAAGCAUUCCGCCUGGGGAGUACGGCCGCAAGGCUGAAACUCAAAGGAAUUGACGGGGGCCCGCACAAGCGGUGGAGCAUGUGGUUUAAUUCGAAGCUACGCGAAGAACCUUACCAGGUCUUGACAUACUAUGCAAAUCUAAGAGAUUAGACGUUCCCUUCGGGGACAUGGAUACAGGUGGUGCAUGGUUGUCGUCAGCUCGUGUCGUGAGAUGUUGGGUUAAGUCCCGCAACGAGCGCAACCCUUAUUAUCAGUUGCCAGCAUUAAGUUGGGCACUCUGGUGAGACUGCCGGUGACAAACCGGAGGAAGGUGGGGAUGACGUCAAAUCAUCAUGCCCCUUAUGACCUGGGCUACACACGUGCUACAAUGGAUGGUACAACGAGUUGCGAACUCGCGAGAGUAAGCUAAUCUCUUAAAGCCAUUCUCAGUUCGGAUUGUAGGCUGCAACUCGCCUACAUGAAGUCGGAAUCGCUAGUAAUCGCGGAUCAGCAUGCCGCGGUGAAUACGUUCCCGGGCCUUGUACACACCGCCCGUCACACCAUGAGAGUUUGUAACACCCAAAGUCGGUGGGGUAACCUUUUAGGAACCAGCCGCCUAAG